rnacentral:tRNA from 2 species
GCGGUCGUAGUCUAGUGGUUAGGACACGGGCUUCCCGAGCCCGUUGCCCGGGUUCGAAUCCCGGCGACCGCA